rnacentral:rRNA from 1 species
CCGGGAAGAGCUCAAAUUUGAAAUCUGGCGUCCUCAGGGCGUCCGAGUUGUAAUCUAUAGAGGCGUUUUCCGUGCCGGACCGUGUCCAAGUUCCUUGGAACAGGAUAUCAAAGAGGGUGACAAUCCCGUACUUGACACGACGACCGGUGCUCUGUGAUACGUCUUCUACGAGUCGAGUUGUUUGGGAAUGCAGCUCAAAAUGGGUGGUGAGUUCCAUCUAAAGCUAAAUAUUGGCGAGAGACCGAUAGCGAACAAGUACCGUGAGGGAAAGAUGAAAAGCACUUUGGAAAGAGAGUUAAACAGUACGUGAAAUUGUUGAAAGGGAAACGAUUGAAGUCAGUCGUGACCGAGAGGCUCAGCCGGUUCUGCCGGUGUAUUCCCCUCGGUCGGGUCAACAUCAGUUUUGUCCGGUGGAUAAGGGCGGUAGGAAGGUGGCACCCUCGGGUGUGUUAUAGCCUGCCGUCGCAUACAUCGGGUGAGACUGAGGAACGCAGCUCGCCUUUAUGGCCGGGGUUCGCCCACGUCCGAGCU